rnacentral:rRNA from 1 species
GACAGAGGGUGCAAACGUUGUUCGGAAUUACUGGGCGUAAAGCGAGUGUAGGCGGUUCGCUAAGUCGGGUGUGAAAGCCCCGGGCUCAACCCGGGAAGUGCACUCGAAACUGGCGGGCUAGAGUAUCGGAGAGGUUGGUGGAAUUCUCGGUGUAGAGGUGAAAUUCGCAGAUAUCAGGAAGAACACCCGUGGCGAAAGCGGCUCUCUGGAACGGUACUGACGCUGAGACGCGAAAGCGUGGGGAGCGAACAGG